rnacentral:rRNA from 1 species
GAUGAACGCUAGCGGGAGGCUUAAUACAUGCAAGUCGAGGGGUAACAUGAUGUUUACAUUGAUGACGACCGGCGCACGGGUGAGUAACGCGUACACUACCUACCCUUAAGAGGGGGAUAGCCUUGGGAAACUGAGAUUAAUACCCCAUGUGAUCGAGAGAUUAAAGGUUUCGGCCGCUUAAGGAUGGGUGUGCGUCCUAUUAGCUAGUUGGUAAGGUAACGGCUUACCAAGGCGACGAUAGGUAGGGGGCGUGAGAGCGUGACCCCCCACACGGGUACUGAGACACGGACCCGACUCCUACGGGAGGCAGCAGUAAGGAAUAUUGGACAAUGGGCGCAAGCCUGAUCCAGCCAUCCCGCGUGAAGGAUGACUGCCCUAUGGGUUGUAAACUUCUUUUGGAAGGGAAGAAACCCCUGGUUUUAACUGGGGCUGACGGUACCUUCAGAAUAAGCACCGGCUAACUCCG